CGUAAUGUCUUGUCAUGUCCCCUCAAGACUAGUCGAGAAGAGAUCGCGUGUCUAUGUAAGCGAGGGCGUUAUACGGUGUCGCCAUAUAGCGACCAAUCCGAGAAUUAUUUCUUUUGCAUGCAUGCGUGUGCAUUUAUUAUGACUAACAAUAGUAGGGUUAUAACAGAACAUUUAAAAGGCGUUAUAACUGCAAAUCUCUUCAGUCAACCAUAAAGAUUCAAUGGAGUGAUUCAUUUCAAUUUAUUUUCCAAACAACUAUUCCGCUUAGUUUAUAAAACCAAAUAGUAGUAUUAUCGACCAGAACCUGGACAUUUUAAAUAUGUAGAUUACAAAUCAGCAGAAGAAGAAUUGCUGCAGGAAUCUAUUGAAUUUUAAUUUAACAGUGAAAUAUACCAUCGCUUCUACUUCACGCAGUUAUUUUCUUCGAUGGGGCAUCAGAAAGACAGAUUUUUAGCAAAAAACUGCUAACAUUUAAGAACUUUUUGUUUUAUAAUAAUUAUAUUAUCAAUAGUAAUACCUUGGGUUAUUACAUUGAUAUUUUAAAACAUAUUUCGAAAGCUUGUUGCUUGAAAUCAGGCCUACGCUUAUAAGCAAAAAGUUUGAGAAAGUUGUUAUAACAUUUUUAAAGAUUUAUUAAUGUUUGCGGAUUAUUCAGGUAGAAAUUUUUGCUAAUUAUAGAAAAAAUACACAGAAAAAAACAAUUUGUUUCAAGGUGCAAUUAACAAAACAACUAUUAGAAAAGUUAAGUGAAGAUCCAGACAUGUUUCUAUAACUGAUAAAGAUUUAUUUCCAAUACAUCUUCAUCGGAAUACAUUGUUGUGACCCGUGAAAACUCUUGCUCUACUCUAUCACUUUUGACCAAUUGACUAACAGCAGUUGAUCUAUUGGAGAGAUUUUUCCCUUGGUAUUCAAGCUAAUCGUUUUGGCAGACGUUUUUAAAAUUAAAAAAAUUGAUACUAACCGAUGAUCUUACUAGUUAUUUUUAAGUUUCAAUUCUCUUCAUUUUUUAGUUAUUUUCGUAAAUUCAAAAUCAUGUUUAUUUUGUUUUUUUAUCACUUCUGUCAGUUUUUUCUUAUAUGACAUGUUUUUUGCAUUUUUUAUAUAUACGUUGUACGUUUAAGGAAUUUUAUGCAUCAUUUCUAUAAAAAUAUUUUAUUGAAACUCUUUUUAUUAUUUCUUCAAUUUUAUGUUUUCGUGUUCUGAAUAAACUGAGUGAAUAAAAACCAUUAUAUGCGAGUCCACGAUUGUCAUUUUUAAUUUAUAUAACAAAAACAGUCUUCGAUGUUUCAAAUAAAUUAUUGGGAUCUUAAAGAAAGUUUCUUUAUGAUUGUAAAUAAUGCAGCAAAAUUUAACAAUUGAAUUUUCUUCGAGUAUAUAGAGGGGAGCAAAAAAUUAAUAUUUGAAAAUUUUUUUAUAAUAUAUAUAUGAUUUAAGUGAAAAAGCUAAAGUAAAUCGAACUUUUACGACAAGGAAUCAAAAGAUUCAUAGUAAAUAUCAUUUAUGCUGUUGACAAUAGGGCUGGAGUGCAGAAAAACGAUUAGCUUCAUAUUUUUACCAAAUACUCGUAUCACACACUAGAUGAUUACACGAAAAAAGAAUUUUUGUUGUCUCACAAGAAAAGAAGAUAAGAAAAUUUUUUUCCUAACCUAACUUAACCACGUAUAUUCAGCUAGUGAUAUUUUGUGUCUAUAUUUCGAAUUUUUAUGACACAAAAAAGCAUAGAAAGACUAUGACUGUGAUGGAUGAAGAAGUUUGCCAAGUUUUUUUGCGCUAUAAAAAUACUAAAUAUAGGCACAAAAUAUCACUAGCUGAUUAUACGUGGUUAAGUUAGGUUAGGAAAAAAAUUUUCUCAUUUUCUUUCCUUGCGAGACGCCAAAAAAUCUUUUAGGUACAAUCAUCUCGUGUGUGAUAGAGUAUUUGGUAAAAAUUAGAAACCAAUCGGUAGGUUCCUUUUUUCGGAACUCCAGCCGAUAGAAGUUCAAACAAUUUUUAAACAAUUGCCUAUUCCAAAGAAAUAUUUAGACAUAUUUAAAAUCUGUCAGUAUCAAUAGAAGCUCUAAUAUGAGUACUGAGCUAUAAAAGGAAAGGCGUAAAAAACUUUCUAACAUUAGACAAAAAAAAAUAUAUUUGUAAGCUAGAAUAAUUUUCAGAAUACAUCAAUUUCAUUACAUUUAUAAGUAUUGAAUUUCAAAUUGUACUUCUAAAUUUGAAACUGAAUCAAGUUUUUGAUAUGAAAUAUAUUUUUACAAAAA